CCUGUGCAACUGAAUUCUAGAUGCCUAGGGUAUGUUGCUGUCCACUCUCCAUAAAAUCGGCACCGGUAGCUUCUUCACCACCGACUUAUAUACCUACGUCUGCACCUUCAGCAGUCUCGCUGCCGACUUCAGCGUAAUCCCGACGCCUAUGUAAAACCGGCAAAUCGAAGCGUAUUCGUCGACGACUCCGAGUCCGAAUGUGCAACAUGGUUGUUUAUGUUGUAUCGAAGCCGACACAGAGAUCGCAUCCUCUCUCUCUCUCUCUCUCUCUCUAAACCUCUCUCCCCGCCCACUUCCCCAAAACCCUAAUGAGGCCCCCUCUCUCCCACCUCCUCCGCCUCCUCUCCCUCCGAAACCCUAGCCCCUCCCUCCUCUCCUCUCCCUUCGCCUCCUUCUCCUCCCUCGCCCCUCCUCCCCCCUCGCCCCGCGUCGCCGCACUCGUCGACGAGAUCUCCUCCCUCACCCUCCUCGAAGCCGCCGACCUCACCGAAGCCCUCCGCGCCCGCCUCGGCGUCGACCAGAUGCCCGCCAUGGCCAUCCUCACCCCCGGCAUGUCCCCCGCCGCCGCCGCCGCCGCCGUAGGAGGCGGCGCCGCCGCGGCGGAGGAGAAGAAGGAGGAGAAGACCGCGUUCGAUCUGAAGCUCGAGAGCUUCGACGCCGCGGCGAAGAUCAAGAUCAUCAAGGAGGUGAGGACGUUCACGGAUCUAGGGCUCAAGGAGGCGAAGGAGCUCGUGGAGAAGGCCCCCGCGGUGCUGAAGAAGGGGGUGGCGAAGGAGGAGGCGGAGAAGAUCGUGGAGAAGAUGAAGGUUAUCGGCGCUAAGGUCGUUUUGGAGUGAGGAACCAUCAAUCUACAAGGGAAAGAUGAGUCGGUCCUUGAAAUUCCUUGGAUGGAGAAAAAAUUGUUGGGUAUUGCGAGUGCUUUGAGAGAAAGGAGCAGUAUAAAGUUGACAUUAGAGGAGACGGUGAAGAAAAACACGACAAAAAUUACAAAACAGAAAUUAGAGGGGAAAUAGGAUCCAUAUAAAGCUGAUUCCAAUAAUAAUUGGAACUUUAUGUUUUGUUUUUUUCUUAUUUAAUUAUAUGGUGUUUUCUUAUCUUACAAAUCUUAGUUAGGAGAUAUGUUUUAAAAAUAUUCUUUGGAUAAAUGUCCAUUUCUAGUUAGUGUAGUUACUUGUCCUGAAUGACAGCCUUUCAUUAAUUUUUUCCUUCAUUAUCUUAUGGACAAUUAACUGUUUCAUUUCAGGUUUGUAUAGUGUAGUUUUUCUUUUUAUGAUGAAAAGAGAGAAAUAAUGACCUUACAGCUAUGGAGAGUGUAAAAGGCGCUUCUUGAAGAUGCUUGGCGCAUGAUUUCUGUUCGAAGCGGAAUUCGAUUUUGAUCCCGGCCAUGCUGUCUGAAGGGAGAGUUACCUACCAAAUUGGCCAGUAAGCAAUGCAUAUGAUUGCUAACAAAUUUGCAGUAUUUGUUGGGACCUUCCUGUGUACUCAGUAGCAGCAAUACUCUUUUCUUUUUUGGAAUUGUAUUCUUUUCUCACAACAGAAGCACCCCCCAAAAAAAAGGAGGGAAUAACACUCCCCACUGGAACUUAUGUAAAGAUGCUAUUUGAGUAGGAUAGUGGAAAAGGCAUUAUCUUUUUUUUCUUUUUGAACAAAUUGGUUUUAUAGAGCAGAAGCUUCUGAUA